UCUUACAAACUCCAUUAGAGUUAUAAUCAAACUUUGUUGUCUAUGCUUUGUAUAUAAAAUCACGAACGCGGAACCGAGGUCGAACAUGGAACCGAGGUCGAAAUCUCGAAUUUCUGUUUCCAAUCUUCUUCACGUUUUCUAUUUCUGUUUUCUGUUUCUUUCUUCUCCUUUGUUUUCAAUUUUUUUUUCUUCCUCUUCAACGUUUUCUUUUCCUUUUGCUUUCCAGUGUUUUUUUUCUCCUUCUUUUGUUUUCUGUUUUUCGUUCCUCCCAUUUUUUUUUU
rnacentral:lncRNA from 1 species